ACUUAAAUAGUUUAAUUAAAAAUUUUGAUUUGUGGUGUCAAGGAUGUAUUUUAUACUUUAGGUA
rnacentral:tRNA from 1 species